CAGGAGUCUGUCUACACAUGUGUGGUGAAAAACCCUGUGAGUGAGAGAACUGCAGAGUUUACCCUGAAAGACUGCUACACUGAGGAAGGCUCAUCCAGUGUCCUGGCUGUGAUCCUGUCCAUCCUCAUCCUCCUCGUCUUAGUUGCCGUUCUGAUAUUAUUGUGGCGCUGGAGGAAAGGCAAGAAACAGCCAUAGACCGUUUUGCCAACAUGAAAGAGAGGAGGAUAGCAUUGGCGUUCAACUAGUCUAUAAGUUAGCCUUAUUGUAGAUCACAGAUGGGUUAUAGAGCAAACAAUGCAAUUAUCCCAACAAAGGCUGUAAUAUGGGUUACUUUACUGGCUUGGCUUGGCUUCCUCAGUGAUGUUACCCACGCACCGCUACUGCCCCCCAGAGUAAUGAAGA